rnacentral:rRNA from 1 species
AGUGGUACUAUGGUUGUGCGUGUUGGCAGGCUCCAUGCUCUAUGCAUCGAACUGUCGACCCGUCAUCCUUUUCAAUCUCCCCCUACGCGGUCAUCGUACCCUGAGGGUGCGAUCGAGAUCCUAUGCUGCAUACCUGAAUCGAUGGAAAUCGGAUGUUUCGCCAUCCCCCAUCCAUCUUGUGUCCCUAGGGGCCACAGGUUGGAUGUCAAUCGUGGCUGGUGUCCCAAGCGUGCCACCCAAUCCUCUGUGGUCGUAUUGGUGCACUGACGUUCGAUCGUGCUCUCGAAUGCAGAAUGUUUAGUAGGCAUGAUGAUGAGAGACGGAGAAUUAGGGUUCCAUUCUAGAAAGAGAGCCUAAAAAAUGGCUACCACAUCCAAGGAAGGCAGCAGGCACGUAAAUUAUCCAAUCCUGACACGGGGAGGUAGUGACAAUAAAUAACAAUACCGGGCUCUAUGAGUUUGGUAAUUGGAAUGAGUACAAUCUAAAUCCCUUAAAAAAGAUCCAUUGGAGGCAAGUCUGGUGCCAGUAGUCGCGGUAAUUCUAGCUCCAAUAGUGUAUUUUAAGUUGUUGCAGUUAAAAAGCUUGUUGUUGGAACUAGGGUUGGGUCGUUUGGUCUACCUCACGGUGAGCACCAGUCUACUCGUCCCUACUACCGAUGAUGCGCUCCUGGACUUAAUUACCAGGGUCGUUCCUCUGGCACUAUUAUUUUAAAGAAAUUAGAGUGCUCAAAGCAAGCCUACGCUUGUAUACAUUAGCAUGGGAUAACAUCAUAGGAUUUCGAUCCGAUUGUGUUGGCCUUCGGGAUCGGAGUAAUGAUUAACAGGGACAGUCAGGGGCAUUCGUAUUUCAUAGUCAAAGGUGAAAUUCUUGGAUUUAUGAAAGAAGAACAACUGUAAAAGCAUUUGCCAAGGAUGUUUUCAUUAAUUAAGAACGAAAGUUGAGAGCUCAAAGAUGAUCAAAUACCGUGCUAGUCUCAACCAUAAACGAUGUCGACCAAGGAUCGAUGGAUGUUACUUUUAGGACUCCGUCGGCACCUUAUGAGAAAUCAAAGUCUUUGGGUUUCGGGUGGAGUAUGGUCGCAAGGCUGAAACUUAAAGGAAUUGACAGAAGGGCACCACCAAGAGUGGAGCCUGCGGCUUAAUUUGAGUCAACACGGGGAAACUUACCAGGUCCAGACAUAGUAAGGAUUGACAGACUGAGAGCUCUUUCUUGAUUCUAUGGGUGGUGGUGCAUGGCCGUUCUUAGUUGGUGGAGCGAUUUGUCUUGUUAAUUUCGUUAACGAACGAGACCUCAGCUUGUGAACUAGCUACGUGGAGGUGAUCCUUCGUGGCUAGCUUCUUAGAGGGACUAUGGUCGCUUAAGCCAAAGAAGUUUGAGGUAAUAACAGGUCUGUGAUGCCCUUAGAUGUUCUAGGCCGCACGCACGCUACACUGAUGUAUUCAACGAGUCUAUAGCCUUGGCUAACAGGCUCGGGUAAUCUUUGAAAUUUCAUUGUGAUGGGGAUAGAUCAUUGCAAUUGUUUUUCUUCAAUGAGGAAUUCCUAGUAAGCGCGAGUCAUCAGCUCACGUUGAAUACGUUCCUGCCCUUUGUACACAUCGCCUGUCGCUCCUACCGAUUGAAUGGUCUGAUAAAGUGUUCAGAUCACGGUGACAUGGAUGGUUCACUGAACCUUAUCAUUUAGAGGAAUGAGAAGUCGUAACAAGGUUUCCGUAGGUGAACCUGCAGAAG